CGGGCGCCGGGUGGCGGUAGACGGCGUCGUUGCCGUCGACGCCCGGCGCGGCAUGGUCCUUGGUCGCCCCAAGCCGCUCGGCCA
rnacentral:tRNA from 1 species